rnacentral:rRNA from 1 species
GAUGAACGCUGGCGGCGUGCCUAAUACAUGCAAGUCGAGCGAGAUGUUAGUGCAUGAACCUUCGGGGGAUUAUACUAACGGACAGCGGCGGACGGGUGAGUAACGCGUAGGCAACCUGCCCCUGACAGAGGGAUAGCCAUUGGAAACGAUGAUUAAAACCUCAUGACACCGUAGAAGCACAUGCUUCAUCGGUCAAAGAUUUAUCGGUCAGGGAUGGGCCUGCGUCUGAUUAACUUGUUGGUGAGGUAACGGCUCACCAAGGUGACGAUCAGUAGCCGACCUGAGAGGGUGAUCGGCCACAUUGGAACUGAGACACGGUCCAAACUUCUGCGGAAGGCAGCAGUAGGGAAUCUUGCACAAUGGGCCGAAAGCCUGAUGCAGCAACCGCCGCGUGAAGGAUGAAGGCCUUCGGGUUGUAAACUUCUGUUCUAAGGGAAGAAACAAAUGACGGUACCUUAGGAGCAAGCCCCGGCUAACUAC